AAGGCUUUAGCUUAAUUAAAGUACCUGUUUUGCAUGCAGGCGAUGUGGGAUAGCGGCCCGCUAGUCUUA
rnacentral:tRNA from 1 species